GCUUUAUAUCAACUCAACUCUAUUCAAUACAUAUAGAUCCAAUUUGGACAUGCAAAAUGUCGCCAUACAGAAACUGUCAAACGAGAAUAACCAAAAAGAUUCAGUAUGUUUUGAGGAUAGCUUAAGUCAUAUCUCAGGAGAGUCCUGCUACUCUGAACUACCAACAUAUUUUAAAAAAGAAAUUGUUAAUAAACUGGAACAAUUUGUUUUUGAAUUAGAGAAAAUAAAUUCAACAGAAAAUAUACCACUUCAGGUCGAUUUGGUUUAUAAAGAUCAAUUGAAACAAAUAUAUUAUAAAUAUCUAAAAGACGACUUUGUUCUUAUUUCCACUUUUCUUAUAAAGGAAAAGUUAAGAUGGUUACGGCAGUUCUAUAAUGAUUAUGCAGGAAUCGUAUUUUGCAGUAAGGUAUCAAAUAACACAUAUUGGGCAAAUGUUUUCAUCCAAUGUCUUGAUCAAAACACCGAGAAAUUUAGAAAAUCUUCAGUAAUUCUUGCUUCGUCACCGUACAGCGAACCAAUGAACUACUUACUUAACAUUAUCGCGGGACAUAUUGAUAUAAACUUGGAAAAUUUAAAACUUCUCGUUGAAAUUUUAAAACUUUC
rnacentral:lncRNA from 1 species